GCGGUGCCCUGUGGGACAUGGAUGGAAUGUGUUAGCUGGGGGAAAAGAAGGACUUCUAACUGCUAACAAAAGGUGCUUUGCUUUUGGUAAUGAUAACAACCGAAGUGAUCGUGGAAGAGAAGCGUGAGAUCAGCCAGGCCCUGCAUUCCCCUCUGCCUUCCUCAGAAACUGCUCGGGCACUGCAGGCUGUGUCCCCACACCUGGGUUCUCCAGUGCUGGCAGACUUGGAGGCUGCGUGCAGAAGGCACAUCUAGUAUGGAGGAUGUGGAUGUUCCUUUGGUUUCCUGAUGAGCUGCCCGGAUCUGUUUGAAGAGGAAGUCGAGGCCGCGUGGAGAGCAAAUAGAGAAGGCACGAAGUUGGGAAAGCAGCAAAAGGGAACUGCCCCUGGCAGCGGUCUCCGUGACGCCAUCCCCGCUUAUUGACACACUGAGGGCUCUUCAGCCGCGCAGAGCUGUGAAAUUCAGAGCACGCGGCGUCGCUCCAGGAGCGGAGCAUAAACAGAGCGGGGCUCCUCCAAAGCUGAAAUAUUUGACGACGUUUUCUAUUCUUAGCCAUCCGAGCACACGCUCGCGGAACGGAGUCGGAGCGCUGCGUGUCGGCGGGCAGCCACGGGCUGGGGAAGCGCCGCGGCUUCCGCGCACGGCGGGG
ensembl:lncRNA